rnacentral:lncRNA from 1 species
AAUAUAGAACAUAGAUUUGCGUUUUAUUCAAAAAAGGAUAAGUUGGGUUAUCGAUGUUUAAGAAAAAAAAUAAAACCUAGGUUGGGAGGCCCAUAGGCCGGUAGAUACAUGAUGGAACCCAAAACAAUAAGUUGAAACCACUGUGUCGGUAUGUCGUGGGCUGCGCAAGUAAAAAAACCUAUGGGCAGGCCACAACCCAGUUGAUACUUGUUCGCCCUCUAGAAAAAAUGAUACCUACUAGGUCCCCGAUACCCCUAAAAAAUGUCCCCGAUGAUAGUCUUCUGUGGCACCCCGGCUCAGAGAAACCGGAACGCACCCGUAUUCCAACCCAGAGAUCAAGGUGAAGUGUUCUGGAAUACGGCACUGCCUAGCAUAGAACAAACCAACUCUCUAUUACAACCCGAAUAUGAAUACAAGGUCUCCGAUAUUAUAAUAAGUAACACCGGCACGACGACACUACGCCAACCACAGUUGCUCUAUGAAAGCAGCAAAACAACUCGAGGCAGCAGAACCUCUACUGGCAGCGGAACAACUAUUGGCAGCGGAACAACGAACGGCGAUGAUGGACUCCAAACCGCAGGGACUCUGGCUGGAACGUUUAUCCUGGCUCGCGAACAUAGGAAACACACCCAACAAGCAAGCAAAAGACACGACCUGCAAACUGGCAUGACACGCCAGGUCAGUACAUUAAAUGUACCUGCAAGCUCACAAUAACCAAAAGCAGUCAAGACAAACAACAACAUGGCAUUAGUAGGUUAAAGCAAUCAUGAGCAUGGUAUUAACAGAACAACAUGGUAUGCACAACUGAACAUGAUACAACGUUAACAUGGCACGAUCAUAUGAACACAAUGAUACUACAUGCAACAGGUUAACAUAAUCAUGCACCAACUUACUCUUGCUCAGCGGUUACCUCGUAACCAAAACAUGCAUUCCUUACCACCGCGAUCAUCACAUGAUCAUCUCAGGAUCAAAUCAAGCUUGGUAUAACAAUACCGUAGUAAUUAUUACAUGACCACAAGGAGCUUGACCUUUACCCGUGAUUCUCGCAUAACACCACAAAUAUCCAACAACUUGGUAUCAUCGACACCACAGUGAUCCACUCACGAUCACAUAAAGAUCAACCAACUUCUUUCAUCAUCGAACCAGGAUUGUAAUUAAGUACAUAAUAAUUAUUAUUUUUGACCCAUAGCGUGACCGACUCCGAAUUGGGCCCAUAUCCGCGGGUGCGGCUAUUGAUAGAUUUAAUACACACACUCUGCAGAGGUAGCGCACUUUACCCACACCACGGAACCCAUGGCUUCGCACUCCCAUUCGGGUGGACCAACGGCGUUUCGACAAAACUGAUCUACUGCCCAUGACACUCACUCGGCCACUCCGACCAACUCCCCUCUAGGCUAAGUCAUGGGUGGCCCCGUGCCUACCAAAGGCAUCAACAGCCACCCGUCGUGGCAAAUAAACGGUCCCAAACGGGGACAUGGAUCCAUACAACAACAACAACAGGGACACAAGGUUCAUGUCCGCCUACUUGAUUAGGGUAGCGCGCGCCCAUAACCUUCCCUCAUUGGAGGCACCGGCGAGAGGCAUGACAAUAGACCCAGUUAGGACCUUACCAUAAAGGCAAAUGUGGUUGCACUGGUCAGCUCGAUUCAGUGGCACCAUGGCUCAGCCAACAGUUGUUCAAGUUCAAUUAAGUCCGGUUAAACUUGAAUGCAAUAAGCUAAGUCACAUGAAAAUAACAAGAUACAACUAUGAUGCAUGAGCAUGAUAUCAACAUAAGCAUGGAGGUGCAACAUAAUCAUCGAGCAUAACCACAAUGAAACAUAUAUCCGAAUGAGCAUGGCAUACUGACGAGCAUGAUUAACACAAGCAUAACUCUACCAUAAGCACAUCAUGACCACUAGCAUCAUGAAUAAAUACCAUGCAAGAACAUAGCAAGAACACUACCAAGUAAACAUGUAACCAAAUAGAUGCAACGGAAGAAACAUAACAACGGUACUGAAUAACAGACGAUAAGCAUGCAUCAGAAAGAACAUGACUUCUACCAGCAUGUAUUACUGCCAACAAGCAUGACAUGUGAAAAUGAUAUUAGCAAGUAGCACAAGAUAUCAUGAUGCAUCAUAACAUAGCAUGAAGAUGGACAAGAAUCCACGAGCAUAACCGAAACAACGACAACAGUGGCAAACAAGCAAACAGAUAACGGUAAACUUUUAUUAUUCAAGUUAAAAUCCAAGGCUACUGCAUAACUAUCAUGCAAGUGGCUGUUGUGACUUGCCUGGGGGUGACGGAGAGUUUGGGAAGAAGUGCGGUGAAGCCGCAGAACGAAACGUCGGACGGUUCUCUCUCGGAGGGGGCUGAUUAGAGGCAAGGUCAAACUGGUCAUUUUCACUAUGGGACCACCUAGUGAAAAUGUAACUAAGAGAAAGAGCUCGACGAUAUGAAGAGGUGAGCGUUGGUUUCACCUUAAUCGGAGUUACGGUUGAAAAGUUGUAACGGUUGGAAGAUCAGGGACUAUUCUGCAAAAAUAUCACGCAAAUAGGUCCCUGAGUGGAUAAGGCAGAAACGUAUUUGAGAAAAUACGCUUUCCGUGGAGGAAAGCGCGUUUACGCCUGAAGAACAAGAGGAAUACGCUUUCAAGAGGAGAAAACGUACUCAGGAAAUACACUUCCAGGAGAAGGAAGCGAACUCCAGGAAUCGCGCCACCACUUAUCCACGUCAGCGGGGCGCCUCGGCCACUGACGGGCUGGGCCCAGCAGCAGGGGGGCUAG